CACCUUAAAUUGUACUAUAAAAUUGGGACGAACAGGGAUAGUUUGUAAUUUUAUUAUCUCUUUGGGGAGUAAAAUAAUUGAAAUCAUAAUUUUAUGGAGACGUGUCUUCUUUAGGUUAAAUCUACUUAUGUUGGGAGUUAUACGUGUCAUUUAACAACAGUCCCUUCAUUUUCCUCAUACCUUUAUCUUUCCAUAGUCAAAUAGUGUGCUUCUAACUUUAUCUGCUUAACUUUUCAGUGAUCUCUUCCAUUUUCUUUUUGACAAUCAGUGAUCUUCUCCAUCCAGUUUAUAAUAUUCUGAUAUGAACUCACUUGCCCAACGGUUCAUGAAGUACCGAGGGAUCCUUUCAACAAAAUAUGCUGAAGUGAAAGAAGAGUAAUUCAAUCUCAAAUACUGUGUAAAGUUUGAUUGCAUUCCGAAACUUGCAGACAACUCAUUGGUCUUCAAGGUUUCUUAUCUGUUUUAUAAUUAUCAGGAUUGAAUUAAUGUAGAAUCAUUCGCAAUUUUUUUUUUUUAUAGAUAGUCACAUGAAAAUAUUCGUUGUCAGGUUUUUUGUCUAUCUAAAUCAUAUGUUGCAGCUGCUCCAUCAAGUCUUCUGUCAAGGAAAGAAAGUAGUCCAGACACUACUGAUUGAAGCAAGGUAUGAAAUGCCAACUUACAAGAAAAGACAGCUUAACAACAUCCAAUUUUGAGCAAUUGUGUUAAGAGCUUGCAAUAACAACAAGCAAUGGAUGGAAAAAGAUCGAAGAACGAAGGCUCUAGAUUGGUUGUCGGAAGGGUACCGUUAUGUUUUUCUGCAAACAUUGUAUAGAAAAGAA